AGCAUAUCAAUAAGCGGAGGAAAAGAAACCAACAGGGAUUGCCUCAGUAACUGCGAGUGAAGCGGCAAAAGCUCAAAUUUGAAAUCUGGCCCGUCUCCGGCGGCCCGAGUUGUAAUUUGGAGGGGCAUCUUCAGGGGUGGGCGCUGUCCUAAGUUCCUCGGAACAGGACAUCACAGAGGGUGAGAAUCCCGUGCCUGGGCGGCUGUCCCGCUCCAUGUGAAGUGUCUCCGACGAGUCGAGUUGUUUGGGAAUGCAGCUCAAAAUGGGUGGUAAAUUUCAUCUAAAGCUAAAUAUUGGCGAGAGACCGAUAGCGCACAAGUAGAGUGAUCGAAAGAUGAAAAGCACUUUGAAAAGAGAGUCAAACAGUACGUGAAAUUGUUGAAAGGGAAGCGCUUGAGAUCAGACUCGUCGGACGGCAACCAUCGGUGCUUCUGUGCCGUGCACUUGCCGACCGACGGGCCAGCAUCGGUUCUGACGGUGGGAAAAAGGCCCGGGCAAUGUGGCUCUCUUCGGGGAGUGUUAUAGGCCCGGGUGCCAUACCGCCUGCCGGGACCGAGGACCGCGCUUCGGCUAGGAUGCUGGCGUAAUGGUCUUAAGCGACCCGUCUUGAAACACGGACCAAGGAGUCUAACAUCUAUGCGAGUGUUCGGGUGGAAAACCCCUGCGCGUAAUGAAAGUGAACGGAGGUGGGAACCCUUCGGGGUGCACCAUCGACCGAUCCUGAUGUCUUCGGAAGGAUUUGAGUAGGAGCAUAGCUGUUGGGACCCGAAAGAUGGUGAACUAUGCCUGAAUAGGGUGAAGCCAGAGGAAACUCUGGUGGAGGCUCGCAGCGGUUCUGACGUGCAAAUCGAUCGUCAAAUUUGGGUAUAGGGGCGAAAGACUAAUCGAACCAUCUAG
rnacentral:rRNA from 1 species